AUUAAUGAGAGUUUGAUCCUGGCUCAGGACGAACGCUGGCGGCGUGCCUAAUACAUGCAAGUAGAACGCUGAAGAGAGGAGCUUGCUCUUCUUGGAUGAGUUGCGAACGGGUGAGUAACGCGUAGGUAACCUGCCUUGUAGCGGGGGAUAACUAUUGGAAACGAUAGCUAAUACCGCAUAACAAUGGAUGACACAUGUCAUUUAUUUGAAAGGGGCAAUUGCUCCACUACAAGAUGGACCUGCGUUGUAUUAGCUAGUAGGUGAGGUAAUGGCUCACCUAGGCGACGAUACAUAGCCGACCUGAGAGGGUGAUCGGCCACACUGGGACUGAGACACGGCCCAGACUCCUACGGGAGGCAGCAGUAGGGAAUCUUCGGCAAUGGGGGCAACCCUGACCGAGCAACGCCGCGUGAGUGAAGAAGGUUUUCGGAUCGUAAAGCUCUGUUGUAAGUCAAGAACGGGUGUGAGAGUGGAAAGUUCACACUGUGACGGUAGCUUACCAGAAAGGGACGGCUAACUACGUGCCAGCAGCCGCGGUAAUACGUAGGUCCCGAGCGUUGUCCGGAUUUAUUGGGCGUAAAGCGAGCGCAGGCGGUUUGAUAAGUCUGAAGUUAAAGGCUGUGGCUCAACCAUAGUUCGCUUUGGAAACUGUCAAACUUGAGUGCAGAAGGGGAGAGUGGAAUUCCAUGUGUAGCGGUGAAAUGCGUAGAUAUAUGGAGGAACACCGGUGGCGAAAGCGGCUCUCUGGUCUGUAACUGACGCUGAGGCUCGAAAGCGUGGGGAGCGAACAGGA
rnacentral:rRNA from 1 species